GUGGGGAAUUUUGGACAAUGGGCGCAAGCCUGAUCCAGCAAUGCCGCGUGCAGGAAGAAGGCCUUCGGGUUGUAAACUGCUUUUGUACGGAACGAAACGGUCCUGGCUAAUACCCGGGGCUAAUGACGGUACCGUAAGAAUAAGCACCGGCUAACUACGUGCCAGCAGCCGCGGUAAUACGUAGGGUGCGAGCGUUAAUCGGAAUUACUGGGCGUAAAGCGUGCGCAGGCGGUGCUGUAAGACAGGCGUGAAAUCCCCGGGCUUAACCUGGGAAUUGCGGUUGUGACUGCAGUGCUGGAGUGCGGCAGAGGGGGAUGGAAUUCCGCGUGUAGCAGUGAAAUGCGUAGAUAUGCGGAGGAACACCGAUGGCGAAGGCAAUCCCCUGGGCCUGCACUGACGCUCAUGCACGAAAGCGUGGGGAGCAAACAGGAUUAGAAACCCUUGUAGUCC
rnacentral:rRNA from 1 species